rnacentral:lncRNA from 10 species
GAUGGAGUCCCACUCUGUCACCCAGGCUGGAGGGCAGUGACGCAAUCUCGGCUCACUGCAGUGUCCGCCUCCCGGUCCCAGCUACUCGGGAGGCUGAGGCAGGAGGAUCGCUUGAACCCAGGAAGUGGAGACUGCAGUGAGCCGAUAUCGCACCACAGCGCUCCAGCCUGGUCGACAGAGUGAGACUCCAUCUCAAGAAAAAAUAAAAAUAAAGUUGUUCUCUGAAGAGCAAAUGUCUCAUUCCAGUAAUGACCCACUCAGCAGGAAUAUGGUGGAGUUCAGUCCAAUUCAGGUCAGCCAUAUCCAAAAGACCACAAGUCAUUACUAAGUUGAGCAAAAGAGUUUUUAUCUAUUAGCAGAAAGGGCCUCUCUGGCAGCAGAGAUUAAAAACUGGCCCAACUUCAUUUCCAUACUUCAGGGAACAGCAAAUUGAGGAUUUACUUAUCUAGGACUUGAAUUCCUUCUUUGGGACCAAGUUAAUAAAAGACCAAGAAACUCCUGAUUAAACUGGAUAAUGAAGGAUUCUGUAGACAGGGCUGCACGUAUCGGCUUUGUUUGACUUCUCUUUUCUCAGUUAACAUCUCAGAGCUAGAACAUUCCACAUUCCCCAGCAGCGUGUGGGGGCUGACUAAAGUUUACAAUUCCAACUAAAAAUCACCCUGCUUCUGGCUUAUCUGAAUCCCUUACCCACCCCACCCCACCACCCUACUCCUAUUUAUUCAGCACCACACUACCCAGGAAAUACACUAGCAAAUUGUGCAAUGGAAUAAAAUCCACACUUUAGAUUCUUGCAACUGUAUCAUAUGUAAUAGUAUCACUUUUUCUACAUUUUGGUCAAAUAAAUUUUUACAUAAAC